rnacentral:rRNA from 1 species
UUGAACGCUGGCGGCAUGCUUUACACAUGCAAGUCGAACGGCAGCGCGGGCUUCGGCCUGGCGGCGAGUGGCGAACGGGUGAGUAAUACAUCGGAACGUGCCCAGUAGUGAGGGAUAGCUCGGCGAAAGCCGGAUUAAUACCGCAUACGACCUGAGGGUGAAAGCGGGGGAUCUUCGGACCUCGCGCUAUUGGAGCGGCCGAUGGCAGAUUAGCUAGUUGGUGGGGUAAAGGCCUACCAAGGCGACGAUCUGUAGCUGGUCUGAGAGGACGACCAGCCACACUGGGACUGAGACACGGCCCAGACUCCUACGGGAGGCAGCAGUGGGGAAUUUUGGACAAUGGGCGAAAGCCUGAUCCAGCAAUGCCGCGUGUGUGAUGAAGGCCUUCGGGUUGUAAAGCACUUUUGGCGGGAACGAAAAGGACUGUGCCAAUACCACGGUUCGAUGACGGUACCCGCAGAAUAAGCACCGGCUAACUACGUG